rnacentral:rRNA from 1 species
AACGAACGCUGGCGGCGCGUCUUAAGCAUGCAAGUCGGACGGCAAGGGGAGCUUGCUCCCCCUAGAGUGGCGGACUGGUGAGUAACGCGUGGGUGACCUACCCUUGAGAUGGGGAUAGCCAUUAGAAAUAGUGGAUAAUACCGAAUACGCUCUUUUUGCUGUGGCGAGAAGAGGAAACAGGCUACGGCCUGGCUCGAGGAUGGGCCCGCGUCCCAUUAGCUAGUUGGUGAGGUAACGGCCCACCAAGGCGACGAUGGGUAUCCGGCCUGAGAGGGUGUACGGACACAUUGGGACUGAGAUACGGCCCAAACUCCUACGGGAGGCAGCAGCUAAGAAUAUUCCGCAAUGGACGAAAGUCUGACGGAGCGACGCCGCGUGGAUGAAGAAGGCCGAAAGGUUGUAAAAUCCUUUUGCUGAUGAAGAAUAAGUGGUGUAGGGAAUGACAUCAUGAUGACAUUAGUCGGUGAAUAAGCCCCGGCUAACUACGUGCCAGCAGCCGC